rnacentral:rRNA from 1 species
GACGAACGCUGGCGGCGUGCUUAACACAUGCAAGUCGAACGGAAAGUGCUCUUCGGAGUGACUCGAGUGGCGAACGGGUGAGUAACACGUGGGUGAUCUGCCCUGCACUUCGGGAUAAGCCUGGGAAACUGGGUCUAAUACCGGAUAGGACCUCGGGAUGCAUGUCCUGUGGUGGAAAGCUUUUGCGGUGUGGGAUGGGCCCGCGGCCUAUCAGCUUGUUGGUGGGGUGAUGGCCUACCAAGGCGACGACGGUAGCCGGCCUGAGAGGGUGACCGGCCACACUGGGACUGAGAUACGGCCCAGACUCCUACGGGAGGCAGCAGUGGGGAAUAUUGCACAAUGGGCGCAAGCCUGAUGCAGCGACGCCGCGUGAGGGAUGACGGCCUUCGGGUUGUAAACCUCUUUCAGCAUCGACGAAGCGCAAGUGACGGUAGGUGCAGAAGAAGGACCGGCCAACUACGUGCCAGCCGCCGCCGUAA